rnacentral:rRNA from 1 species
GAUCCUUGAUCAGGACCCUUGACAGUUUCAGGUGGGCAGUUUAUUUGGGGCGAAUGCCUCCUAAAAGGUAACGGAGGCGUGCAAAGGUUCCCUCAGUCUGGACGGAAAUCAGACAUUGAGUGUAAAGGCAAAAGGGAGCUUGACUGCAAGACCUACAAGUCGAGCAGGGGCGAAAGAGGCCUUAGUGAUCCGACGGUGCCGCGUGGAAGGGCCGUCGCUCAACGGAUAAAAGUUACUCCCGGGAUAACAGGCUGAUCUUCCCCAAGAGUUCACAUCGACGGGAAGGUUUGGCACCUCGAUGUCGGCUCAUCACAUCCUCGGUCUGUAGUAGGUCCGAAGGGUUGGGCUGUUCGCCCAUUAAAGUGGUACGUGAGCUGGGUUCAAAACGU